rnacentral:rRNA from 1 species
CAGUAGCCACGGUAAUACAGAGGGUGCGAGCGUUAAUCGGAUUUACUGGGCGUAAAGCGUGCGUAGGCGGUCUGUCAAGUCAGAUGUGAAAUCCCCGGGCUUAACCUGGGAACUGCAUUUGAAACUGGCAGGCUAGAGUCUGGUAGAGGGGGGUAGAAUUCCAGGUGUAGCGGUGAAAUGCGUAGAGAUCUGGAGGAAUACCGGUGGCGAAGGCGGCCCCCUGGACAAAGACUGACGCUCAGGUGCGAAAGCGUGGGGAGCAAACAGGAUUAGAUACCCCUGUAGUCCCUGUCUCUUAUAU